UACGUAGGGGGCGAGCGUUGUCCGGAAUUAUUGGGCGUAAAGGGUGCGUAGGCGGUAGAUUAAGUUGGAUGUGAAAUACCCGGGCUUAACUUGGGGGGUGCAUUCAAAACUGGUUUACUAGAGUGCAGGAGAGGGAAGCGGAAUUCCUAGUGUAGCGGUGAAAUGCGUAGAUAUUAGGAGGAACACCAGUGGCGAAGGCGGCUUUCUGGACUGUAACUGACGCUGAGGCACGAAGGCGUGGGGAGCAAAC
rnacentral:rRNA from 1 species